rnacentral:lncRNA from 1 species
AAACUCAUUUUCUUCCUUAGGAUAAACUUCAAAUACAUCCCGUGUGGUUUUAUAUUUUCUCAUUUUAAUAUUUUGUAGUUUAAAAUUUAUCAAAUUAGCCUUUGUGGUUUCACACUUUUUUAUUUUAGUAACUCGUGAUUUAUAGUGUAUCAAGUUAGUACCUUGUGGUUUUUUUUUUUCUUUUUAUUAUUCAUUUCACUAAUUUUUUUCGUUAAAUCAGUGACAAAGUUAAAAUUCAAGGGUACUGAAGUGAAUAUUUGAUAUACCUAGGUAGGGUAUUUAAAGUUUUUUGUAUACAAUUUAACGAAAUAUUAACGGAGGAAAAAAAAAUCAGUGACAAAAUUAAAACUAAAGAGUAUUAAAAUAAAUAUUCGAUAAACCUAGGUAGAGUAUUUAAAGUUUUUUGUAUAUAAUUUAAUGAAAUAUUAACAAAGGAGCCGACGAAAAGAGAAAAAUGAAACCACAUGGUUCUAAAUUGAUCCACUUUAAACUACAGAGUACGAAAGUGAGAAAUGGUGAAACCACAUGAUACUAAAUUGAUAGACUUUAAACCACAAGAUACUAAAGUGAAAAUGUGCUAAACUACAGGGGUAGUAUUUGAAGUUUUCCCUAAAAAAAAAAAAUCCUAACUUCUUAUAUCCUUUUUCUUUUUUUAUCUUUUUAUAACGACAUUCUUAUCUAAUUAAUAUAUAUUAUUGUAGUCACUAAAUCUCUUUCCAUCUAAUUUUUU